CGGGGUGAGUAACACGUGAGCAACCUGCCUUUCAGAGGGGGAUAACAGCCGGAAACGGCUGCUAAUACCGCAUGAUGUUGCGGGGGCACAUGCCCCUGCAACCAAAGGAGCAAUCCGCUGAAAGAUGGGCUCGCGUCCGAUUAGCCAGUUGGCGGGGUAACGGCCCACCAAAGCGACGAUCGGUAGCCGGACUGAGAGGUUGAACGGCCACAUUGGGACUGAGACACGGCCCAG
rnacentral:rRNA from 1 species